GAUGAACGCUGGCGGCGUGCCUAAUACAUGCAAGUCGAGCGAAUGGAUUAAGAGCUUGCUCUUAUGAAGUUAGCGGCGGACGGGUGAGUAACACGUGGGUAACCUGCCCAUAAGACUGGGAUAACUCCGGGAAACCGGGGCUAAUACCGGAUAACAUUUUGAACCGCAUGGUUCGAAAUUGAAAGGCGGCUUCGGCUGUCACUUAUGGAUGGACCCGCGUCGCAUUAGCUAGUUGGUGAGGUAACGGCUCACCAAGGCAACGAUGCGUAGCCGACAUGAGAGGGUGAUCGGCCACACUGGGACUAGGACACGGCCAAGACUCCUACGGGAGGCAGCAGUAGGGAAUCUUCCGCAAUGGACGAAAGUCUGACGGAGCAACGCCGCGUGAGUGAUGAAGGCUUUCGGGUCGUAAAACUCUGUUGUUAGGGAAGAACAAGUGCUAGUUGAAUAAGCUGGCACCUUGACGGUACCUAACCAGAAAGCCACGGCUAACUACGUGCCAGCCGCCGCAGUAA
rnacentral:rRNA from 1 species